CCUACGGGCGGCAGCAGUGGGGAAUAUUGCACAAUGGGCGAAACCCUGAUGCAGCGACGCCGCGUGAGUGAAGAAGUAUUUCGGUAUGUAAAGCUCUAUCAGCAGGGAAGAAAAUGACGGUACCUGAUUAAGCAGCCCCGGCUAACUACGUGCCAGCAGCCGCGGUAAUACGUAGGGGGCAAGCGUUAUCAGGAUUUACUGGGUGUAAAGGUAGCGUGAACGGCAGCACAACUCUGGAGUGAAAUGCCUGGGCUUAACCCCGGGACUGCUUUGGAAACUGUGCAGCUUGAGUGCAGGAGAGGGAAGUGGAAGUCCAAGUGUAGCGGUGAAAUGCGUAGAUAUUAGGAGGAACACCAGUGGCGAAGGCGGCUUACUGGACUGUAACUGACGUUGAGGCUCGAAAGCGUGGGGAGCAAACAGGAUUAGAUACCCCAGUAGUC
rnacentral:rRNA from 1 species